GACGAACCGAGCGAACGUUGUUCGGAAUCACUGGGCUUAAAGGGCGCGUAGGCGGGCUGUCAAGUCUGGGGUGAAAUCCCGCGGCUCAACCGUGGAACUGCCUUAGAUACUGACGGUCUCGAGGGGGAUAGGGGCGAGCGGAACUGUGAGUGGAGCGGUGAAAUGCGUUGAUAUUCACAGGAACUCCGGUGGCGAAGGCGGCUCGCUGGAUCUCUUCUGACGCUGAGGCGCGAAAGCUAGGGGAGCAAACGGG
rnacentral:rRNA from 1 species